rnacentral:tRNA from 1 species
GUCUGGGUGGCUCAGCGGUUGAGUGUCUGACUUUGGCUCAGUUCGUGACUCCAGGGUUUUGGGAUCGAGUCCCACAUCAGGCU